UCUGGUAGUCCUGAUGGUCCGAUUGUUGAGGUAUGCUCCUCUACUCACAGCUUAUAUGGAAGGACCUUCCUCCCCUCCUCCUCAAAAACAACAUAACAAUCCAUGUCAUUGUCUCUUAGGAACAAGUUCUUUACCGCAUCAAGUGCUUCUUCUUCGUCUGUCCCAUAAACAAUGUUAGCCUGUUGGAAAGUCAGCUCUAAAGGCGGUAUUGGCUGUUCCAGUGAAUAGUACGGACCGCGCUAUGAUGGGACCAAUUGUUAAAUUCUUCCCAAGUGUACUCGUAUCUUAGACCGAAAGUAGUGUCGUGCUUCUUGAGCUUUAUGGGUUUAGCAAUCCCCUGGAGGUUCUUGCCGAGUCCCUUGCCAGGUUCGUACUCACUCUAAUUCACGAUAAUUUUGAUCUUGUUGUCCUACCAUUUAUCUUUGUCUACAAAAUUGACUUGCUCGAUGUGGUGGCAGGUCUCUCCACCUAGAUUUCUUCUUCCCCCUAUUACCAGGACGGUCUGACGACUGUAUAUAGGAUUGCUGUCGUCACCGUGAAUGAUCACUUCCUAAUGAUUCCAUUCAAAUUUUAUGGCCUGAUGUAGUGUUGAAGCAGCAGUCAUAGCAUGAAUCCAGGGAUGACCUAGCAGUAGGUUGUAGGAUGUCGGCACAUCUAUUACUUGAAAGUCGACCGCGAACCAAGUCGGUCCCAUCUGCAGAUACAGGCUAAUCUCACCCAUCGUGGAUCUUUGAGAACCAUCGAAGGCUUUCACAUUGAUUGCUCCUUCUUUUAUCUCAUGCAGUUCUUUACCCAGCUUCUUGAGUGUUAUCAAUGGACAGAUAUUAAGGUUGGAACCCCCAUCGAUCAGGAUCCUAUUGAUGAGGUAGUCUUGCAUUGCACGGUGAUAUGCAAGGCUUUGUUGUGACCUAACCUUUCAGGCAAUAACUCAUCCUUAUAGAAGGUGAUUUUAUAGAUUUCUAAUACUUGUCCCACCAUAUUGGCCAUUUCUCCACCACUGAUGUUACUUGGUAGUAUGCCUCACUCAACACCUUUAAUAGAGCAUUUUUGUGUGUCUUGGCAUUGUGCAACAAUAUGAGGAUAGAUAUUUGUGUUGGUGUUUUGUGUAGCUAGUUGAUGACGGAUACUCCUUGGCCUGUAUCUUCC
rnacentral:lncRNA from 1 species